UAGCCUAAUGGUUAAGGCUAUGGAUCGCCAAUCCAGACACGGCGGGCUCGAUUCCCGU
rnacentral:tRNA from 1 species